AAGAUCAAAACGCAAAGCCGCCAUGUUGUCAGUCAAAACUUUAUCUGUCAAAAGUGUCACAAACAAAACAAAUGUCAUUCCGUUUCCGUUUGUGAUCCGUGAAUGUGCCUCGUUUGUAUUUUUGUGUUUAUUUCGACGACUUUGCUUUAUCCCCGGACUUCGAAGACUUCGCCUAUCACGUUGGACGUACGCAUGAAACCCUGGACCCUGAUUUGCCUCACGACUUGUAUACUGUUGACCCGAAUUAUGGCUGCUUCAGAAAGAGGUUGUUGUGUACCAGGAUGCGGUAAAACUCGCCAAGAUGAUACAAUUCUGCAUUCGUUUCCUAAUCCUGAUAAGGAUAUGGAUCGAUAUCUCGAAUGGACUCGUGCAGUUGGAAGCAAUGUAUCAUCAUUGGAUCCCCAAUAUGUAUACAAACAUCGUAGAGUGUGCCAUAGCCAUUUUGAUACAAAAUAUUUGACAUGGACUAGAAGACUGAGCCCUAAUGCAAUUCCCACUAUAAGGAUAGCAGAAAUACAAAUGGCCCGAGUUCCACUUACUGACAUAUCAAACAGGAGUCAUACAGCUCCAUUGGAUGAUGCCUUGCCAUCCACUUCUAGAGGAUCUGCAAUGGCUUUAGAUCCACUAGUUGACAUGUCAAACAGGAAUGAAAAUGCUAUAAUAGAUGCUGAAUUGCCAUCCACUUCUGGAGGUAAACUUUUGCAUCAACUGCGUAGGAAAACACCAAUGUCAGACCAAAAGGCAUUGAUUAAGGCUGUCAAUAAACUACAAAUAAAAAAAGACAGUUAUGCUAGAAGACUGAAAAAGGCUUUGAAUUUGUCUGAAAACAAAACAUUUCAAAACACUUUGAAAAAAUUCACUGCCUUGGCUGCUUUGUUCACCAUAAUGCAGUUUCGUGAGUCAGGAAAAAACAAAAUGGGGAGGAGAUUCACAGAGCCUGAAAAAAUAAUGGCACUGAGCCUUUAUAAAAGGAGCCCUAGGACUUAUAGGUGGCUACAAAAAAUUUUUGUCUUGCCGUCAGCCAUGACGCUUAAUAGAUUAAUAGGACGAGCGAAUUUAAAACCAGGAUAUAAUGAAAAUAUUUUUGCCCAGCUAAAAAAAAGAGUUGAUAAAAUGAAAGCAGAUGAGAAACUUUGUAUUCUGUUAUUUGAUGAGAUGGCUAUUGCACCACAUUUUGAUUAUAAUCAAAGAAAGGAUAACAUUUCUGGGUUUGUAAAUAAUGGCCAAACCCGACAAAACAAAUUAGCUGACCAUGCUCUAGUUUUUAUGAUAAGGGGUGUUCAAAAGAACUAUAAACAACCAAUAUCAUACACCUUUUGUUCUGGCAGCACAAACUCUGCUGAGCUUGCCAGACAGAUCAAAUAUAUAAUAAGAAAACUACACGCUGUGGGACUACACGUUUUGGCAACAGUGUGUGACCAAGGAGCAUCUAAUGUGAGUGCUAUAAAUUUGUUAAUACAAGACACAAAAUCCAUAUAUUUGAAAGAAAAUAAAGAACUGCGAAGAGACAUCUUUGAAGUAGAUGGUAAGGAAGUCAUCCCAAUUUAUGACCCACCUCACUUGAUAAAGGGUAUUAGAAACAAUUUAAUUACUAAAAAUUUAAAAUGCUCCAUAAAUGGAUGUACAAAAAUAGCAAAAUGGGAGCAUAUUGUCAAUUUAUAUCAGGAAGAUCCCGCCUAUAAAGGAAUACGGUUAGUAAAAAAAUUGAGUGAACAACACAUCAAUCCCGAUAAAUUUCAGAAAAUGAAAGUAAAAUAUGCUACGCAAGUGUUAAGCCAAAAAGUUGCUGUCACCAUGGGAUUUUUAGCAGAAAGAAAUAUACUUCCAGCAGAAUGUAUGCAGACUGCUGACGUUAUAUUAUUCUUUGAUGAAUUGUUCGACUCUGUGAAUGGGAGCUACGACAACUCCAAGAAAAGGUCGGGGAAAAAUUUACUUACGGCUGUAACUACAAAAUCGGACCAUCGCGCCAUUUGGUCAAAAGCCAAAACAGUAUUGAGUACAAUGAAAUUUAUUAAUAAAGAUGAAAAAACACAAGGCAAGCAGACCACAGUUCCAACAAUAAAUAACUGGUUACGUACUAUUAAUAAUGUGGAAUAUUUAAUUGAAAAACUUUCUUCAGAAUUUAACAUAAAAUCUGUGUAUAUGAGGCAUUUUAACCAAGAUCCCUUAGAAAAUUUCUUUGGGUUGAUUCGAAGCCAUGGCUGCAGAAAUACUAAUCCUACUGCAGCUGGCUUCGAAUCCUCCUUUGCAGCAUUAUUAAUUAAUAAUUUAAGUGGCCAGCACUCACCUGGAUCUAACUGUGAGGAUGAUGGUUGCCAAACAAUUUUUAAAUCAAUGGAAUGUUUGUUUGCAAACACAGAAAACCCCUCUAUACCCACAGAUGAAAUAGAUUUUAACUUUGAAGGGGAUUAUGUAAAUUUUGAAGAAAAAAAGCAAAACCCCAGAAUUUUAGCUGCUUUGCAGUACGUAACUGGUUAUUUAUUAAAAAAAACAAGAAUAAAUAUAUUUAAAAAUUGUAAAAAAUGUAAAGAAUGUUAUUACGACGAAAACAAUGUCAGCGAUUUUUUAAAAAUACGGGAGUAUAAAAAAGGAAAGACAUAUUUAACUUAUCCAAAAACGGAAUUAGUAAUAUUGUUUUCAAAAAUGCAGGACUUGGUAACAUAUGUAUUGAAAAAAAAACCUCUUAGUAACAAUAUAAAAACUUAUUUAAAAACUUUAUUGUAUUCACAACUGGAUUUUGAAUUAUUUGAUUGUGAUAAGCACAAAAUGCAAACUAUAGAAUUUAUGUUAGAACUGUCUUGCAAAUUUUUUAUUUGUAACUGGUGCAGAGAUGUUAAUAAAAUAAUUAAUGGAACUAGAAUUGAUUUAGAUCAUGAUGAUGUAAUAAAAAUGUUCGCAUAUAAUUAUUAUACUAAAAGAAAACAUUGUAAAAAAUAACUAACCAUUAUUAGGUUAGUUAUUUUUUACAAUGUUUUCUUAAUCAAUUCUAGUUCCAUUAAUUAUUUUAUUAACAUCCCUGUUACAAUCAAAUAAUUCAAAAUCCAGUUUUUAUAUUAAUUUACUAAUAACCAAAAUACCUAUACAAAUAAGAAUAGUAACAGAGUUCAUUACAGUCAAUGGUUAGUUGUUUUUUACAAUGUUUUAUUUUGUGUGUGUGCCAUGUGUCAUGACUAUUCUUUAAUUGUUUUAAAUAAUCCUCCGUAGUGUAGUAAAUAUGUUUGUUUAAGUACCGCAUUUGUCGCAAUAAAUACAUGUGAUUUAA